ACAACCUGUGCAAUGAGUGGUUUGGGUGAGGAGUGAGGAAGGGGAAAACCAUGGGCAGCAGCCCACCCUGGGGUCAGAGGAGAGGAUCUUGGUGGGAACAUGCAAUGGGAUGCUUGCCAGUGCACAGGAUGGGAAGCACCUGUGGUGUAGCUGACCCACCUACAGCAGGGACAGUAAAGCAACGACACGAUGGAGGACAGCUGCAGGGGUGAUGCAGCAGCUGGCUUUGAGCCACAAAUCCACUUUUCCUCUAGGUCUUGGCUCCAAUGCUAGUAUCUCUGGAAAGCAACAUUUCAGAUUGUCCUGGUUUCAGUUAGAACAGAAUUUUCUUCCUAGUAGCUGGUGGAAUGCUGUGUUUUGGCUUGGGAUGAGAAGAGUGCUGAUAACACCCCGAUGUUGUAACAUGGAGACUUACAGCCAAACUACAUCCCCCUUCAUUCAAUUUUCUGUAGAAUUGCUGCUAUCACUUUCAGAAAAAGGGAUCUCCAGUUCCUCCAGCAAGCCCUCAGGAGGAGCAGCAGGGCCCAUGCUGGCCAUCAUGUUGGCACGUGUUGGCUUGCGCCUUCAGCCAGAACCGGCAGUGAACAGGUUAAGCACCAGUGAGCCUAAAAGGCUGCAUUUUGAGGGGUGGGUUUGGGGUAACCUGAGCUAAGGAAGCGAUGUUAACAAUAUAAGAAGAGGAAGUGCUGGCCGUUCGUUUGUUUGUUUAUUGUUUCAGCAGUUUGUACUGUGUGUCUCGUGUGCUAUCUUCAUCCCUCAGUCUCCCAGCCGGUUCAUUAUACACGGGAAGCGGCGCUUCCUGCCAGCGACCUCCUGGGUCCCGUCCCAUUGUUAGCAGAGCUGACACAGAGCGCUGGAGGCAGCAGAAAGGGCUGCUUGCUUGUGUGCCUGUGAGAAACGCUCCAGAGACCUCCGUUAGUUAAUAAAACAGAUGGUUUUAUUGGCAUAGGCAAAUUUCAGCACUAGUGAUGCAUUUAAUAGGGUUCAUCCAAAGAAAAUCCCAAUAAAAAUAAAGCGAGGAGUUUAGAUCAUUGGGGCCAGGGGGAUAAAUAUAGGAGAGACAAGAGGAUGAUCCGUACCUCCGGCACCACCAGCAGCUCUUCUGUGUCUCCACAGCCUUUAGCAAGGAGGGUUACUCAACCUCUCCUUCUCUACUAAGACUGAUUAGUCAGAAGGAGAGAAGGUCCUUGUCUCCAACAGCCAGGCUCAGCUGGCCUAAAUCUCACCACAAUCCCUGUGCCAAGCAAGAUCUUUAAGUUCCCUGACUUAGGGCACCUGGAUGGUCUUCAAAGCCUUGGUACUCUCCCUUCAGCUGGUACAGGGACUUAUGUGGAAAUGACUCUGACUCUGAGAACCCUAAAACCAUCAAAACCUUAUUUUCUGAAGCCCCAGUGCCCUCUGCACCCCCAAUUUUUUCCAUUCUAUGCUUCUUUAGUGAUCACUCUCUAACACCUUGCAAAAGGAGUGUGCUUCCCUCAGAUGCUGUAAGAACACUUCAGUAUUUAUUUAUUUUUUAAAGAACACUUUGUACAAUCCCUAAGCGAGGCCUGAAGCAAUGCAAACAAUAACAAACAGCAAUGGCUCAAGCUGCAGAGCUGGGAUCCAGAUGUGCGCCUGAACUUCCCUAAAGUUUGAGGGUGUUUUGAGCCUGUUGUGGGUCAAUCUCUGUGGAAAACUGAAGAUGAAGUGGGAGUAAAAGGGGGGGAAAAAAAAAAAAAAAAAAGUAGAACAUGGUUAACAAAACAUAUGGGGGAUACAUCAGCAUCUGUGUGCUUGGUAACUCCAGUCUCCUGAAGGUGUGUCCCCAGCCUCUGAAGAGCCAGGAGCUGUCAUUAGCUGGGAACAAAAGGAUUUUUGUUCACUGGCAUCGGUAAAGGUAAAGCAAUCUGUUUUGAAGCACAGCUUUAAAGCAUGUAUUGCCACUUUGUUUAUAAAGAUCCUAGGGGAAAGUGAGCUUUGCUUUAAGUCACGUACUUUUUUUCACUUUGUCACUGUAUUUUUACUUCCACAUGUCCUAUGUAACUCCACCAAAAACACCUUAAAAAUCUCCUUGGAAGUUGUGUACCAUUCAUGCCACUACCAUGGCAUCUAGAGGCCAAAAUUCACUCAUCUGGGGUUUUAGAGAAAAGUUAAAUUGCAGUUCCUGGGCUUUCUCUUCUGAGGGAGAUGCCGUUUCCAGGGUAGAGCUGAUGCCUUGCCUGUGGGACAGGAAGCGGCCAGAGGAGUGCUGUCAUCGCUGAAAGUUUUCUUUCAUGAGGAAAUAUUAUUUACACAUGCCAUGUCCAAAUGACAACAGCGGCAAGGAGGACUGGCAAUCGAUCCUGCUUUAAAUAACUGUUUUCUAAGGCAGGGAGGAGCAUUUUUGCGGCCAUUUCCGUAACAAAAUGUUCCACUCACUUCUGGCCUAGCUAUGCAGCAUCUUGCUUGUGCAUUCCUAACAGCAGCCUUCCCUUCCCUUCCCUGCCCGCCUUUUGUCAACAAAUCUGUAAGAAAAGAAUUUCACCAUGUCAGGAAUUUUAUGCUUUUGAAAUAGAGCUCACACACUUGACACGACCCAGCCCCAGGACAGCACUGAGCUGUUGCCCAGAUGGGAGGUCAGUCAUGAUUUUUUACAGAUGUUUUGGAACAAAUCGUAGUGCUUAAAAGAAAAUAUAUAUUUAUAUCUCCAGACAGUUCAGAGCCAUGAUAAAUAAUUUAGAGAGUGAUUAGACAAAUCAUGCGAAAGAGCUUUAAGACUGGAUCUUUUGGCUCCCUGAUGAGGAUACAUUUAAAUUAAACAGCCAGUAAAUAACAAGCCAAAGACUAUCAUGCCACUGGAUAGCGAAAGUAGUUAAGGAGCUGGAUUGAAAUGAUGAGUGGAUAUUGAGUGCCUGCUGUCAUUUCCCUUUCCGUCUUUUGGUGACGAGGAAGAAAAAACAGUAAAGAAUGAGCAGGGUCCCAGCGUUGUUCAUCUCCUCUUUCCUUGUGAAGAAACAGAAGGAAAGCAGAAAUUAUUCACUUCCCUCUCCUCCUCCCCCGGGAGAAAGAGGGAGUAAGACACACAGGAUGCAAGUCUUGCUUUGGGGAAUACAGAGCCGGUCCUGGGCUGUUGGAGUAACAACCUGCAAGAGCAGAGGAACAGCAGAGGGAUACCCCCCUAUAAAUGAUGUCUUUUGCCUUGUUUCUGUUAGCUUGCAUUUUUAAGUAUUUUAAAUAAUUACAAAAAGCUGUGAUACCAACUCUUCCAAACGUAUUGUGGCAAGUGAAUUACUUAAAGAGCUGACUCUUCUCCAGAGUUCCUUUGGAAAUUAAUUGGAAAUUAAUUUCUGCCGCAAUUUUCAAAUACUCCCCUUCCAAGUCAAGCCCGGAGGGAGAAGAGGCCACCCAUCUGCCAAAAGACUAAGGGAAGUCGUGCACUAGUUUCGGUAGAGCAAACUAAAAGCUCAAAGUAACCUGGACCUAAUGGAUGGGAAGGCUAACCGGCAAACACUCUGGAUUCAGUAUCAGCUGGCAGAAUUCCUACAUUUCUACUCUGCACCAUGAGGCAAGCCCACUGCUUAAAUCAGUGCAUCAUUAAGGAUGCUGGAUUAGGCUCAACAUAUUAGAAGUUUCCAGCUGCCACUGCAAAGGUGAAUGCACAACUGAGGCGAUGCUCAGUAUCCUGGAAAAAUUCUCUAUAACUAUAUAAAAGCUACCAAGUGACGUCUGACUUACAAGGGCUUAUGCUUAGGACACCAGCUGCGUCCUGGUGACUACAGCUAAUUUCGGCAAUGGGACAGGGGAGCAGAGUGUCUAUGGAAUUUGAGGCAGGAUAUAGAUUGUAAACAUUGUUUCCCCGAGAUCUUGCUGUGCGUUGCUCAAAAUUGUUUUCAAAGGCAGCUCAAAUUAACCCUCCACUCACCUCCUCCAAGGCUGGAUCCAGCAAUGUUUAACAUAAAAAUAACAAAGUCUUCUCUGACCGGAGACCAGAGCCCAUGCUCCUUCUCUCCCUUUCUCUAAGAUAUCUCCUUAACAGUACAACUAUGUUGGGGCCUUUCCCGAGCCAAAGUGUAAUAACCAUCCCUUUAUAAUGCCCAGUGGCUGUGUACGCGUGCCACACAGGACAGAGCCUGGUUAAUUAAGAAAUUCUCUCGGACUGCCUGCUAUACCAGGUGAGCAGACAGCCAAUAAAGAAAAGCACUGUCCAUUCAGCCCCUGCCAGCUUACAUGCUCCCAAUUUCGAUUGCCUGUGAUUGCUUUGGGGGCUAGGAAGGGAACAUGUCAGAUCUCUGCCAAUAGCGAGCCUGAGUUAUCCGCGGACAGAAAGUUGUGAUUUCUCGCCUUUGGUAACAAGUGGUAACACCAGCAAGAACAGAAGCAGUCAAACUUUGUUUCCUACAACAACUGUUUCUGUCUGAGCUCCCAUGGGGGGUCUCCAGCAAAGGGCGAUCUUGAAGCCUCCUUCUCACUGGAAGCAGGAGGAAGAGCCCACGCCAGAGACUCCCUCAGAGCUUGUAGGAUUUGCUGUCCUCAUGGGGACAGCUUGGAAGGGCCUGGCACACCUACCCACACACACAGCAAUGGGACGAGCCUUGUUUCACGGGAAAUCUGGUCCACAUUCAGAUGACCUUCUUCUUGCUGAGGCUAAUUUCAAGACUGGGAGAUUCAAACCACAGAUUCUGGCAAGAACUACAGAGACCAGGAAACCUCAGCACC
ensembl:lncRNA